AGUGAACGCUGGCGGUAGGCCUAACACAUGCAAGUCGAACGGCAGCACAGUAAGAGCUUGCUCUUACGGGUGGCGAGUGGCGCACGGGUGAGGAAUACAUCGGAAUCUACUUUUUCGUGGGGGAUAACGUAGGGAAACUUACGCUAAUACCGCAUACGACCUACGGGUGAAAGCAGGGGAUCUUCGGACCUUGCGCGAUUGAAUGAGCCGCUGUCGGAUUAGCUAGUUGGCGGGGUAAAGGCCCACCAAGGCGACGAUCCGUAGCUGGUCUGAGAGGAUGAUCAGCCACACUGGAACUGAGACACGGUCCAGACUCCUACGGGAGGCAGCAGUGGGGAAUAUUGGACAAUGGGCGCAAGCCUGAUCCAGCCAUACCGCGUGGGUGAAGAAGGCCUUCGGGUUGUAAAGCCCUUUUGUUGGGAAAGAAAAGCAGCAGGUUAAUACCCCGCUGUUCUGACGGUACCCAAAGAAUAAGCACCGGCUAACUUCGUG
rnacentral:rRNA from 1 species